ACUCUAGUCUGGCACUGUGAAGAGACAUGAGAGGUGUAGAAUAAGUGGGAGGCCCUCACGGCCGCCGGUGAAAUACCACUACUCUUAUCGUUUUUUCACUUACCCGGUGGGGCGGGGAGGCGAGCCCCGAGCGGGCUCUCGCUUCUGGUGUCAAGCGCCCGGCUUCCAGGCCGGGCGUGACCCGCUCCGGGAACAGUGGCAGGUGGGGAGUUUGACUGGGGCGGUA
rnacentral:ncRNA from 1 species